rnacentral:lncRNA from 1 species
GAUCCUUAAUUCCUGGGAAAACUGAUGGAUCUAAAGACAGAUCAUCUGUCAGGACGUUUCAAAGAAACCCUGAAUUUACUUAAUCUGCUUCAAAAUCAACCAGACAAAUCCAACACCUUCGAUUCUUCAACCAAAAGGGAGCAUCUUCCUAUCUUUCUCUUUAGGAAGAAACGAUUACGCCCCCUCUGAUGAGAUCUGGCACUCGGCUAGUACCAAAAGACAAACACAAGUUCCAGGAUUUAUGGUUAGAUCUUGCAUGAAGAGAAAGUGUCAACGCAAAUCAGAGAAAGAAAUAGAUUCGUGAACAGUUCUGAUUUGGUUGAACAAAAACACACCAAAAGAUCGCCUAGCGAAAGUGAAAAUCCGCAACCGGAACAGAAGUUCGAUCAACAGAUCGAAUAUUUACAUACAAAAAACAAAAAGAUAAAAUAUGGUAACCGGCAGCGAGAGCCACCGGCUACCGAUCGACGAUGGUGAUUGAAGUUUUCUAGUGAGAAGUUGGAGAGAGUAGAAAGAGAAAAAACAUGUAUGGGACAGCGGUGCCUAACCUCUCCUAGUGAAUAUUCACAUCAAAUAAAUGUCACCGACGAAAUGACAUAUUGAUAUUUAUUUAAUUCAUAAUGAAUUCUACUUAUCACUGUUUUCAGUUGAUCCCUAAUCACAAAUACAUUGUCCGGACGAUUUCUGAUAAAAUGGUUUUGC